rnacentral:rRNA from 1 species
AACCUGGGAACGGCAUUUGAUACUGGGCAGCUAGAGUUUGGGAGAGGAGAGUGGAAUUUCCGGUGUAGCGGUGAAAUGCGUAGAGAUCGGAAGGAACAGCAGUGGCGAAGGCGGCUCUCUGGCCUAAAACUGACGCUGAGGUACGAAAGCGUGGGUAGCAAACAGGAUUAGAUACCCUGGUAGUCCACGCCGUAAACGAUGUCAACUAGCCGUUGGGCCUUUAUUAAGAAUUAGUGGUGCAGCUAACGCAUUAAGUUGACCGCGUGGGGAGUACGGCCGCAAGGUUAAAACUCAAAUGAAUAGAUGGGGGCCCGCACAAGCGGUGGAGCAUGUGGUUUAAUUCGAUGCAACGCGAAGAACCUUACCUACCCUUGACAUCCAGAGAAUCUGUGAGAGAUCGUAGAGUGCCUUCGGGAACUCUGAGACAGCUGCUGCAUGGCUGUCGUCAGCUCGUGUCGUGAGAUGUUGGGUUAAGUCCCGUACCGAGGGCAACCCUUAUCCUUAGUGCCCAACACGAUCAUGGUGGGAACUCUAGGGAGAAUGCCAGUGAUAAACCGGAGGAAGGGGGGUAUGACCUCAAGUCCUCAUGCCCUGUAUGGG